GACGAACGCUGGCGGCGUGCUUAACACAUGCAAGUCGAACGGAAAGGCCUGCUUUCCCUUGUGGAUUGCGGGUGCUCGAGUGGCGAACGGGUGAGUAACACGUGAGUGAUCUGCCCCCAACUUGGGUAUAAGCCUGGGAAACUGGGUCUAAUUCCCGAUAGGACUGCAGGGUGGUGCCUGUGGUGGAAAACGAUUUUCUUGUGUGUGGGGAUGAGCUCGCGGCCUAUCAGCUUGUUGGUGGGGCAAUGGCCUACCAAGGCGGGGAGGGGUAGCCGGCCUGAGAGGGUGGACGGCCACAUUGGGACUGAGACAAGGCCCAGACUCCUACGGGAGGCAGCAGAGGGGAAUAUUGGACAAUGGGCGGAAGCCUGAUGCAGCGACGCCGCGUGGGGGAUGACGGGCUUCGGGUUGUAAACUCCUUUCGACCGAGAGGAAGCCACCUGGUUGGAAGGGUGGUGACGGUAGUGGUAGAAGAAGCACCGGCUAACUACGUG
rnacentral:rRNA from 1 species